rnacentral:rRNA from 1 species
GAUGAACGCUGGCGGCGUGCCUAAUACAUGCAAGUCGAGCGAACGGACGAGAAGCUUGCUUCUCUGAUGUUAGCGGCGGACGGGUGAGUAACACGUGGAUAACCUACCUAUAAGACUGGGAUAACUUCGGGAAACCGGAGCUAAUACCGGAUAAUAUUUUGAACCGCAUGGUUCAAAAGUGAAAGACGGUCUUGCUGUCACUUAUAGAUGGAUCCGCGCUGCAUUAGCUAGUUGGUAAGGUAACGGCCUACCAAGGCAACGAUGCAUAGCCGACCUGAGAGGGUGAUCGGCCACACUGGAACUGAGACACGGUCCAGACUCCUACGGGAGGCAGCAGUAGGGAAUCUUCCGCAAUGGGCGAAAGCCUGACGGAGCAACGCCGCGUGAGUGAUGAAGGUCUUCGGAUCGUAAAACUCUGUUAUUAGGGAAGAACAUAUGUGUAAGUAACUGUGCACAUCUUGACGGUACCUAAUCAGAAAGCCACGGCUAACUACGUGCCAGCAGCCGCGGUAAUACGUAGGUGGCAAGCGUUAUCCGGAAUUAUUGGGCGUAAAGCGCGCGUAGGCGGUUUUUUAAGUCUGAUGUGAAAGCCCACGGCUCAACCGUGGAGGGUCAUUGGAAACUGGAAAACUUGAGUGCAGAAGAGGAAAGUGGAAUUCCAUGUGUAGCGGUGAAAUGCGCAGAGAUAUGGAGGAACACCAGUGGCGAAGGCGACUUUCUGGUCUGUAACUGACGCUGAUGUGCGAAAGCGUGGGGAUCAAAUAGGGUUAGAUACCCUGGUAGUCCACGCCGUAAACGAUGAGUGCUAAGUGUUAGGGGGUUUCCGCCCCUUAGUGCUGCAGCUAACGCAUUAAGCACUCCGCCUGGGGAGUACGACCGCAAGGUUGAAACUCAAAGGAAUUGACGGGGACCCGCACAAGCGGUGGAGCAUGUGGUUUAAUUCGAAGCAACGCGAAGAACCUUACCAAAUCUUGACAUCCUUUGACAACUCUAGAGAUAGAGCUUUCCCCUUCGGGGGACAAAGUGACAGGUGGUGCAUGGUUGUCGUCAGCUCGUGUCGUGAGAUGUUGGGUUAAGUCCCGCAACGAGCGCAACCCUUAAGCUUAGUUGCCAUCAUUAAGUUGGGCACUCUAAGUUGACUGCCGGUGACAAACCGGAGGAAGGUGGGGAUGACGUCAAAUCAUCAUGCCCCUUAUGAUUUGGGCUACACACGUGCUACAAUGGACAAUACAAAGGGCAGCGAAACCGCGAGGUCAAGCAAAUCCCAUAAAGUUGUUCUCAGUUCGGAUUGUAGUCUGCAACUCGACUACAUGAAGCUGGAAUCGCUAGUAAUCGUAGAUCAGCAUGCUACGGUGAAUACGUUCCCGGGUCU